rnacentral:rRNA from 1 species
GACGAACGCUGGCGGCGUGCUUAACACAUGCAAGUCGAACGGAGUUACGUAUGAAGUAUUUCGGUACGGACUAUGUAACUUAGUGGCGAACGGGUGAGUAACACGUGGGCAACCUGCCCUUAACCGGGGGAUAACAUUGUGAAAACAGUGCUAAUACCGCAUAACAGAGUAUCGGGCAUCCGAUAUUUUUAAAAGGAGCAAUCCGGUUUAGGAUGGGCCCGCGUCCAAUUAGCUAGUUGGUGAGGUAACGGCUCACCAAGGCUACGAUUGGUAGCCGAACUGAGAGGUUGAUCGGCCACAUUGGGACUGAGACACGGCCCAGACUCCUACGGGAGGCAGCAGUGGGGAAUAUUGGGCAAUGGGCGAAAGCCUGACCCAGCGACGCCGCGUGAAGGAUGAAGGUCUUCGGGUUGUAAACUGCUUUUGUACGGAACGAAACGGUCUGCCCUAAUACGGCAGGCUAAUGACGGUACCGUAAGAAUAAGCACCGGCUAACUACGUGCCAGCAGCCGCGGUAAU